AUGAACGCUGGCGGCGUGCCUAAUACAUGCAAGUCGAGCGAACAGAUGAGGAGCUUGCUCCUCUGACGUUAGCGGCGGACGGGUAAGUAACACGUGGAUAACCUACCUAUAAGACUGGGAUAACUUCGGGAAACCGGAGCUAAUACCGGAUAAUAUAUUGAACCGCAUGGUUCAAUAGUGAAAGACGGUUUUGCUGUCACUUAUAGAUGGAUCCGCGCCGCAUUAGCUAGUUGGUAAGGUAACGGCUUACCAAGGCAACGAUGCGUAGCCGACCUGAGAGGGUGAUCGGCCACACUGGAACUGAGACACGGUCCAGACUCCUACGGGAGGCAGCAGUAGGGAAUCUUCCGCAAUGGGCGAAAGCCUGACGGAGCAACGCCGCGUGAGUGAUGAAGGUCUUCGGAUCGUAAAACUCUGUUAUUAGGGAAGAACAAAUGUGUAAGUAACUAUGCACGUCUUGACGGUACCUAAUCAGAAAGCCACGGCUAACUACGUG
rnacentral:rRNA from 1 species